rnacentral:rRNA from 1 species
UCGGGAAUUUUGGGCAAUGGGCGAAAGCCUGACCCAGCAACGCCGCGUGAGGGAUGAAGGCCUUCGGGUCGUAAACCUCUGUCGGGAGGGACGAAAGGUCGGCGGUCGAAUAGGCCGAAGGCUUGACGGUACCUCUAGAGGAAGCGCCGGCUAACUCCGUGCCAGCAGUCGCGGUAAUACGGAGGGCGCAAGCGUUGUUCGGAAUUACUGGGCGUAAAGCGCGUGUAGGCGGCCAGGUAAGUCGGAUGUGAAAGCCCGGGGCCCAACCCCGGAACUGCACCCGAUACUGCCUGGCUGGAGUCCCGGAGAGGAUGGCGGAAUUUCCGGUGUAGAGGUGAAAUUCGUAGAUAUCGGAAGGAACACCAGUGGCGAAGGCGGCCAUCUGGACGGUGACUGACGCUGAGACGCGAAAGCGUGGGGAGCAAACAGGAUUAGAUACCCUGGUAGUCCACGCCGUAAACGUUGGGUGCUAGACGUCGGGGGUAUUGACCCUCCGGUGUCGAAGCUAACGCAUUAAGCA